rnacentral:tRNA from 4 species
GUGUCCGUAGCGCAAUUGGAUAGAGUGACAGCCUCCGACGCUGUAGGUUCCGGGUUCGAUUCCCGGCGGGCACACCA